rnacentral:snRNA from 1 species
GGAUGUGAGGGCAAUCUAGCUGUUACAUCUGUCACCCCAUUGAUCACCAGGGUUGAUUUGGCUGAUCCAGCUGACUAGAUGGGUGUCCCUUUCCUCUCUCAGUGCUCUAUAUGUGUCCCUCUGGAAGCUGCAUGUUAGGCCAAAGAGGAUGGCCCUCUGAGGGUAUAGAGUAGCUGCCCUCCCCUCCUAGAACCUCCAAACAAGCUCUUAAAGAAAGUCAUCUGUCAUAUUCUCCAGGUCUUUCCCUAGAAGUCUAAUUCACCAAGGUGCUAUCCUAG